UGUCCAGUAGCACCUUAGAGACCAACUAAGUUUGUUCUGGGUAUAAGCGUUCAUGUGAUAUCUGAAGGUAUCUGAAGAGGUGUGCAUGCACACGAAAGCUUAUAUCCAGAACAAACUUAGUUGGUCUCUAAGGUGCUACUGGACA